GGUCCCAUGGUCUAGUGGUUAGGACAUUGGACUCUGAAUCCAGCAACCCGAGUUCAAAUCUCGGUGGGACCU